CCCCGAGGAAAAGAAAUCAACCGAGAUUCCCCCAGUAGCGGCGAGCGAACGGGGAGCAGCCCAGAGCCUGAAUCAGUGUGUGUGUUAGUGGAAGCGUCUGGAAAGGCGCGCGAUACAGGGUGACAGCCCCGUACACAAAAAUGCACAUGCUGUGAGCUCGAUGAGUAGGGCGGGACACGUGGUAUCCUGUCUGAAUAUGGGGGGACCAUCCUCCAAGGCUAAAUACUCCUGACUGACCGAUAGUGAACCAGUACCGUGAGGGAAAGGCGAAAAGAACCCCGGCGAGGGGAGUGAAAAAGAACCUGAAACCGUGUACGUACAAGCAGUGGGAGCACGCUUAGGCGUGUGACUGCGUACCUUUUGUAUAAUGGGUCAGCGACUUAUAUUCUGUAGCAAGGUUAACCGAAUAGGGGAGCCGAAGGGAAACCGAGUCUUAACUGGGCGUUAAGUUGCAGGGUAUAGACCCGAAACCCGGUGAUCUAGCCAUGGGCAGGUUGAAGGUUGGGUAACACUAACUGGAGGACCGAACCGACUAAUGUUGAAAAAUUAGCGGAUGACUUGUGGCUGGGGGUGAAAGGCCAAUCAAACCGGGAGAUAGCUGGUUCUCCCCGAAAGCUAUUUAGGUAGCGCCUCGUGAAUUCAUCUCCGGGGGUAGAGCACUGUUUCGGCAAGGGGGUCAUCCCGACUUACCAACCCGAUGCAAACUGCGAAUACCGGAGAAUGUUAUCACGGGAGACACACGGCGGGUGCUAACGUCCGUCGUGAAGAGGGAAACAACCCAGACCGCCAGCUAAGGUCCCAAAGUCAUGGUUAAGUGGGAAACGAUGUGGGAAGGCCCAGACAGCCAGGAUGUUGGCUUAGAAGCAGCCAUCAUUUAAAGAAAGCGUAAUAGCUCACUGGUCGAGUCGGCCUGCGCGGAAGAUGUAACGGGGCUAAACCAUGCACCGAAGCUGCGGCAGCGACGCUGAUGCGUUGUUGGGUA
rnacentral:rRNA from 1 species